AUGGAGAAAGUGUUGGAGUGUGCAUUCAUAGUCUUGUGGCUUCAGCUUGGCUGGUUGAGUGGAGAAGACGAGGUGAUGCAAAGUCCUGAGGCCCUGAGACUCCAGGAGGGAGAAAAUAGCAGUCUCAUCUGCAGUUACACAGUCAGCAGUUUAAGAGGGCUGCUCUGGUAUAGGCAAGAUCCUGGGAAAGGCCCUGAAUUCCUCUUCAUCCUGUAUUCAGCUGGGGAAGAAAAGGAGAAAGAAAGGCUAAAAGCCACAUUAACAAAGGAGGAAAGCUUUCUGCACAUCACAGCCCCUAAACCUGAAGACUCAGCCACUUACCUCUGUGCUGUGCAGGCACAGUGUUCCCCAGGCACCUGCAACUUGUAACAAAACCCUGCAGCUGGGGAUCUGGAAUAAGGGCAGAGGCAUCUCUGCUGUUCUUCCUCUUGAAGGAGUAUUUAUUU